CAGAAUCAUUUGGGCGCUUGAUUGUCAUAUAAUGAUGGAAACAGUCCGGACUGCCGGGAAGAUAUAUAAUACUGCCAAAGUAUCGGUCUGUAAACUGAAACACGAAACACAAUGGAUAAAGAUACAUUACUACAUUUAAGCAACUCUAUAAAUUAUUCAUUCAGGAGAUGGCAGACGAUAAAGAAGCGGAAAUUGUCCCUGGACUGUUAUAACACGUGACUGUUUACCAUUUUUUGACCAAUCAAUAUCAGGAUUUGGAGAAAUUAGAGAACCAUGGCUGAAAACAACAAGAUUCCAGUUAACAUUGAAGUGACCUUGAUGACUACGCUUUUAAAAUGGCGGUACAACGUUCUUUCUUAUCAAUGAACGAGACGCCAUUUUAGAAAUUUA